rnacentral:rRNA from 1 species
GACGAGCGCUGGCGGCGUGCUUAACACAUGCAAGUCGAACGGUAAGGCCCUUCGGGGUACACGAGUGGCGAACGGGUGAGUAACACGUGGGUGAUCUGCCCUGCACUUCGGGAUAAGCCUGGGAAACUGGGUCUAAUACCGGAUAGGACCACUGCCUGCAUGGGUGGUGGUGGAAAGCUUUUGCGGUGUGGGAUGGGCCCGCGGCCUAUCAGCUUGUUGGUGGGGUGAUGGCCUACCAAGGCGACGACGGGUAGCCGGCCUGAGAGGGUGACCGGCCACACUGGGGUGGAGAUCCGGCCCAGACACCUCCGGGAGGCAGCAGGGGGGAAUAUUGCACAAUGGGCGCAAGCCUGAUGCAGCGACGCCGCGUGAGGGAUGACGGCCUUCGGGUUGUAAACCUCUUUCAGCACCGACGAAGCGCAAGUGACGGUAGGUGCAGAAGAAGGACCGGCCAACUACGUGCCAGCAGCCGCCGUAA